rnacentral:rRNA from 1 species
UUAUCCGGAUUUACUGGGUGUAAAGGGAGCGUAGGCGGGAAUGCAAGUCAGAUGUGAAAUCUGAGGGCUCAACCCUCAAACUGCAUUUGAAACUGUGUUUCUUGAGUGGUGGAGAGGCAAGUGGAAUUCCUAGUGUAGCGGUGAAAUGCGUAGAUAUUAGGAGGAACACCAGUGGCGAAGGCGACUUGCUGGACACUAACUGACGCUGAGGCUCGAAAGCGUGGGGAGC